rnacentral:rRNA from 1 species
GACGUAGGAUGCAAGCGUUGUCCGGAAUUAUUGGGCGUAAAGAGCUCGUAGGCGGUUCGUCACGUCGGAUGUGAAAUCCCGAGGCUCAACCUCGGGUCUGCAGUCGAUACGGGCGGACUUGAGUACUGCAGGGGAGACUGGAAUUCCUGGUGUAGCGGUGAAAUGCGCAGAUAUCAGGAGGAACACCGGUGGCGAAGGCGGGUCUCUGGGCAGUAACUGACGCUGAGGAGCGAAAGCGUGGGGAGCGAACAGG